rnacentral:rRNA from 1 species
AACGAACGCUGGCGGCAUGCCUAACACAUGCAAGUCGAACGAAGGCUUCGGCCUUAGUGGCGCACGGGUGCGUAACGCGUGGGAAUCUGCCCUUGGGUUCGGAAUAACAGCGGGAAACUGCUGCUAAUACCGGAUGAUGACGUAAGUCCAAAGAUUUAUCGCCCAAGGAUGAGCCCGCGUAGGAUUAGCUAGUUGGUGGGGUAAAGGCCCACCAAGGCGACGAUCCUUAGCUGGUCUGAGAGGAUGAUCAGCCACACUGGGACUGAGACACGGCCCAGACUCCUACGGGAAGCAGCAGUGGGGAAUAUUGGACAAUGGGCGAAAGCCUGAUCCAGCAAUGCCGCGUGAGUGAUGAAGGCCUUAGGGUUGUAAAGCUCUUUUACCCGGGAUGAUAAUGACAGUACCGGGAGAAUAAGCUCCGGCUAACUCCGUG